UACGUAGGGUGCGAGCGUUGUCCGGAAUUAUUGGGCGUAAAGAGCUCGUAGGCGGUGUGUCGCGUCGGCCGUGAAAACCUGCAGCUUAACUGUGGGCUUGCGGUCGAUACGGGCAUCACUGGAGUUCGGCAGGGGAGACUGGAAUUCCUGGUGUAGCGGUGAAAUGCGCAGAUAUCAGGAGGAACACCGGUGGCGAAGGCGGGUCUCUGGGCCGAUAUUGACGCUGAGGAGCGAAAGCGUGGGGAGCGAACAGG
rnacentral:rRNA from 1 species